GAAAAAAUACUGUGAUCAUAGUCACAGUAUGUAUAAGAAUUCUAAAACUUACGAUGGAGAUAUAUUGAAAUGACUAAUUUUUCUAGAGUAAAAUUUGUUGAACCCAUCCAAUCGUGUAAUUUACAAGAUAAUACAAAGACACUAUGAGAAAGCUUGAUCUUGGAAAUGAAGUUUGAGGAGAGAUUGUAAGUCUCCAGUUAAUACUGGAGGAAAACUAAACCCUGUCUUUCUGAAACUCAAUGAGAAACAUAGACCGUCUUCUUCCUGUGUAUUAGUUUUCAACAUUUUUACUACUUCCACAAUUACACACAUUUGGAUGCACACAUAGAAUUGUGCAUAACUCAGCGUAUUCCUUGCUUUCAUUUGUUUACUCACCUAGUACUUUAUGGUUGCAAAUUUCAGAAACUACUAUGAUGAGUAUGUUUUUGUUCUAGUUUGUCUUAUAGAGUGGAAUUGGAAAUAUCUAUAUUUGAGUAAACAUUCUCAAAUUCUGUAAUCUUCGGUGCAGUAACUACUGUGUUUCUACACUCCAACUGUAACAUGGUGAGAGAUUAAUACUUUCUGUGCAUCAGAAGGACCUUAGGAAGAUAAGAAAUCCAUUAAGGCUGGAAUUCAAACUGUGAGGACAUUGGUGAAAGGUUGGUUAGGCUGGACAAUGAAAAUCUUGCUUAAGAAAUAUGUACUUUAUCUGAAGAUCCAGAAAAAUAGAUUUUGUUUGCAUCUAUUUCUACUGUCUCCUUG